UAAAAUAUGUCUUAUUCCCUCAUGGUGUAGA
rnacentral:piRNA from 1 species